rnacentral:rRNA from 1 species
UACGUAGGUGGCGAGCGUUUGUCCGGAUUUAUUGGGCGUAAAGCGCCCGCAGGCGGCUUGAUAAGUUUCAGGUGAAAUCUCCCGGCUUAACUGGGAGGGGUCCUGGAAAAACUGUCAGGCUUGAGGCAGAGAGAGGGAUGUGGAAUUCCCGGUGUAGUAGUGAAAUGCGUAGAUAUUGGGAGGAACACCAGUGGCGAAGGCGGCAUCCUGGCUCUGUCCUGACGGCUCAGGGGCGAAAGCGUGGGGAGCAAACCGG